GCUUCAUUCCUGCUCAGCCCGCCCUGAUUCGCGGUGCCAGGAGGGGGCCAGAACCCAGGUCCAAACCCAAACCCCCCUCCCCACCGCUCCCCCCUUCAAUGAAAAGCAGAUGGCUGUUCCUCCACCGGCAGCCGGCUUCAGUCAGCGGUCCAGGAGAGGAAACUUCUCAUUCGCUGCCAUCCAUCAUCGAACUUUCCCGACCGACUCCUCCUGUACGCCACACCAUUCCUCUCCUCAUCCACACCGAGGUAGAGCAGACUGAACCCUGCUAGCCUUGCUGCCUGAUCACCUGGUCUCCUGAACACACAUUUCCACCGAUGCCCAGUUGGUCUCCAGCACUGAUGGCGGUCGUUGUUAACCCAGGGCUCCAAAGCGAUCCGGUGUACUGGAGAUCAUGUUCUUGACUCACAUGUCAGAUUUAGCGAACGUUUUACGGCAGACACUCUUCCUGACGCCACCCUCUGCAUUUCUCCGGGCUUGGGAUGCUUUGUGUUGCACAUUAUAUUUUCCAUUGUAAGCUCUUAGUUGUCCGUAUCUUUUCUUGAACAAACCAAUUUC